UACGUAGGGGGCUAGCGUUGUCCGGAAUCAUUGGGCGUAAAGCGCGUGUAGGCGGUCCGGUAAGUCCGCUGUGAAAGUCGAGGGCUCAACCCUCGAAUGCCGGUGGAUACUGUCGGGCUUGAGUACGGAAGAGGCGAGUGGAAUUCCUGGUGUAGCGGUGAAAUGCGCAGAUAUCAGGAGGAACACCGGUGGCGAAGGCGGGUCUCUGGGCCGAUACUGACGCUGAGGAGCGAAAGCGUGGGGAGCGAACAGG
rnacentral:rRNA from 1 species